rnacentral:rRNA from 1 species
GUGCCUAAUACAUGCAAGUCGAGCGAACGGACGAGAAGCUUGCUUCUCUGAUGUUAGCGGCGGACGGGUGAGUAACACGUGGAUAACCUACCUAUAAGACUGGGAUAACUUCGGGAAACCGGAGCUAAUACCGGAUAAUAUUUUGAACCGCAUGGUUCAAAAGUGAAAGACGGUCUUGCUGUCACUUAUAGAUGGAUCCGCGCUGCAUUAGCUAGUUGGUAAGGUAACGGCUUACCAAGGCAACGAUGCAUAGCCGACCUGAGAGGGUGAUCGGCCACACUGGAACUGAGACACGGUCCAGACUCCUACGGGAGGCAGCAGUAGGGAAUCUUCCGCAAUGGGCGAAAGCCUGACGGAGCAACGCCGCGUGAGUGAUGAAGGUCUUCGGAUCGUAAAACUCUGUUAUUAGGGAAGAACAUAUGUGUAAGUAACUGUGCACAUCUUGACGGUACCUAAUCAGAAAGCCACGGCUAACUACGUGCCAGCAGCCGCGGUAAUACGUAGGUGGCAAGCGUUAUCCGGAAUUAUUGGGCGUAAAGCGCGCGUAGGCGGUUUUUUAAGUCUGAUGUGAAAGCCCACGGCUCAACCGUGGAGGGUCAUUGGAAACUGGAAAACUUGAGUGCAGAAGAGGAAAGUGGAAUUCCAUGUGUAGCGGUGAAAUGCGCAGAGAUAUGGAGGAACACCAGUGGCGAAGGCGACUUUCUGGUCUGUAACUGACGCUGAUGUGCGAAAGCGUGGGGAUCAAACAGGAUUAGAUACCCUGGUAGUCCACGCCGUAAACGAUGAGUGCUAAGUGUUAGGGGGUUUCCGCCCCUUAGUGCUGCAGCUAACGCAUUAAGCACUCCGCCUGGGGAGUACGACCGCAAGGUUGAAACUCAAAGGAAUUGACGGGGACCCGCACAAGCGGUGGAGCAUGUGGUUUAAUUCGAAGCAACGCGAAGAACCUUACCAAAUCUUGACAUCCUUUGACAACUCUAGAGAUAGAGCCUUCCCCUUCGGGGGACAAAGUGACAGGUGGUGCAUGGUUGUCGUCAGCUCGUGUCGUGAGAUGUUGGGUUAAGUCCCGCAACGAGCGCAACCCUUAAGCUUAGUUGCCAUCAUUAAGUUGGGCACUCUAAGUUGACUGCCGGUGACAAACCGGAGGAAGGUGGGGAUGACGUCAAAUCAUCAUGCCCCUUAUGAUUUGGGCUACACACGUGCUACAAUGGACAAUACAAAGGGCAGCGAAACCGCGAGGUCAAGCAAAUCCCAUAAAGUUGUUCUCAGUUCGGAUUGUAGUCUGCAACUCGACUACAUGAAGCUGGAAUCGCUAGUAAUCGUAGAUCAGCAUGCUACGGUGAAUACGUUCCCGGGUCUUGUACACACCGCCCGUCACACCACGAGAGUUUGUAACACCCGAAGCCGGUGGAGU